rnacentral:tRNA from 3 species
GCGCGGGUUGCCGAGCCAGGCCAAAGGCGUAGCGCUUAGGACGCUAUCCCGUAGGGGUCCGCCGGUUCGAAUCCGGUCCCGCGCAC